rnacentral:RNase_P_RNA from 1 species
GUCGCGCCCGAAAGGGUGAGGAAAGUCCGGACUCCGCAGGGCAGGGGACUCGGUCGUCAAGGCCGGGACUGCGGCGGCAAGCGCCGUAGAUGGAAAGCGUCACAGAGAAUAGACCGCCCUCUUGAGCCUUGUGCGAAGGAGGGUAAGGGUGAAAAGGCGGUGUAAGAGACCACCGGGGUUGCGUGAGAGCGCGCCCGCACGACAAGCCCUCCCCGGAGCAAGAUCAAAUAGGGGACCGACGGGCGGCCCGUCCGGUUCUGGCAAGGCCAAACGCCGCGUGGUCUUUACCGCGCGUGCCGGCGAAGCAAGAUCAGGUCCCGGGUUGAUUGCGUUAGAUGAAUGAUCGGACCCGCAAGGGGAACAGAAUCUGGCUUAUUCGCC